rnacentral:rRNA from 1 species
AACGCUGGCGGUAUGCCUAACACAUGCAAGUCGAACGGCAGCACGGGAGCAAUCCUGGUGGCGAGUGGCGAACGGGUGAGUAAUAUAUCGGAACGUGCCCGGUCGUGGGGGAUAACGUAGCGAAAGCUACGCUAAUACCGCAUACGAUCUACGGAUGAAAGCGGGGGAUCGCAAGACCUCGCGCGAUUGGAGCGGCCGAUAUCAGAUUAGGUAGUUGGUGAGGUAAUGGCUCACCAAGGCGACGAUCCGUAACUGGUCUGAGAGGAUGAUCAGUCACACUGGAACUGAGACACGGUCCAGACUCCUACGGGAGGCAGCAGUGGGGAAUAUUGGACAAUGGGCGCAAGCCUGAUCCAGCCAUGCCGCGUGCAGGAUGACGGUCCUAUGGAUUGUAAACUGCUUUUAUACAGGAAGAAACACUCCGACGUGUCGGAGCUUGACGGUACUGUAAGAAUAAGGAUCGGCUAACUCCGUG